CCAAUAGCGUAUAUUAAAGUUGCUGCAGUUCAAAAGCUCGUAGUUGAAUUUCGGGACCAAUAUGUCGGUCGUGCCUCGGUACGUACUGGCAUCGUUGGUUUCUCCCUUCUGACGAACCAUGAUGUCAUUUAUUUGGUGUCGUGGGGAAUCAGGACUGUUACUUUGAAAAAAUUAGAGUGUUUAAAGCAGGCUCACGCUUGAAUACAUUAGCAUGGAAUAAUGAAAUAGGACGUUUGAUUCUAUUUUGUUGGUUUCUAGGAUCGACGUAAUGAUUAAUAGGGAUAGUUGGGGGCAUUAGUAUUCAAUUGUCAGAGGUGAAAUUCUUGGAUUUAUUGAAGACUAACUACUGCGAAAGCAUUUGCCAAGGAUGUUUUCAUUAAUCAAGAACGAAAGUUAGGGGAUCGAAGACGAUCAGAUACCGUCGUAGUCUUAACCAUAAACUAUGCCGACUAGGGAUCGGAUGAUGUUAAUUUUUUAAUGACUCAUUCGGCGCCUUACG
rnacentral:rRNA from 1 species